rnacentral:rRNA from 1 species
GAUGAACGUUGGCGGCGUGCCUAACACAUGCAAGUCGAACGCUAGUAGCAAUAUUAGAGUGGCGCACGGGUGAGUAACACGUAGCUUAUCUACCUCCCAGCGCGGGAUAACGGUUCGAAAGAACUGCUAAUACCGCAUAAGCUCACGAGCUAUAGAGGCUGGUGAGAAAAGGCUUAGGUCACUGGGGAGCGGGGGCGUGCGGCCCACUCAGCUAGUUGGUGAGGAACGGCUUACCAAGGCGACGACGGGUAGGGGGACCUGAGA